CUAUUGCUUCAGAUAUUUUCAACCCAAGCCUCUCAAGAGCCCGAUCUCAAUCCUCACUCUCCAAGCCUCGAUCUCCGAUCUCAAGCCUCACCCUCAUCCUCCAUCUCUCCGAUCUCAACCCUCACCCUCCAUCUCUGAUCUCACCCUCACCCUCCAUCUCUUCGAUCUCAAGCCCUCACCCUUACCUUCCAUCUCCGAUCUCACCCUCACCCUCCAUCUCCGAUCUCAAGCCCUCACCCUCACCCUCACCCUCCAUCUCCAAUCUCAAGCCCUCACACCCCACCGUUAUCGCACAGACAAAGUCCGUGUCUCGUGUCUCUCUUUUUGUGAAAUCAGAAAAAGCUGAGAGAGACUUAAAUCCGAUUUUGCAAGGGACGAUCUUCUAUGGCUUUUGAUUUUCAUAGCAUUUUUUUCCUAUAAUAUACCCAUGGCUGACCUCAUCUCUCUCGCUUGCAUGUGGGUCUCUCAUGAUGUCAAUCUCUUGGGUCACAAGGAUUGCUGAGGACUGACUUUGAGUUUUGGAAGACUUUGUUCUCGGUAUUCUCUCGUCAACUAUCAAUUUUUCCUGUUUGUACUGGUUCAAACAGAAAUAAAGUUGAGCUACAAGGAUCCUUGACUGACGGGAAACCGUUUGUCUGGUUGCUGAGUUUCUGAGAACAUUGACUGUGUCUGCCAACAUGAUAAUAUAACUGAACGAGAUAAGCCAAUUAUCAAGCAAACCCUCUUUUCUUCAUACAACACCUUGUUGGCUCCAAAGACUUGUAGCUCUCAGCCACACAUUUGAAUCUUAUUCAAGCACAUGAAGUUUCUCAUCAAUUGCCUUAGCCCUGUGGGAAAAGCUCAGGAAUAGUGAUGCGGCUAGGACUAUAAAAAGGGAUGUCAUAGAGAGGAACAUGCAUUAGGGUGAAAUUAAGCUGUGUGAAGAUCUAAAGAAAAAAAAAAACAGUGCUUUGUUAAGAGUGGAGAUCUUGUUGCGAUCUUGGCUUCACUGGGUUUCUAGAGAGUGCCAUUAUGGACAUAAACUGUGGUCUACCUGUAAAUCAAGGGUACAAAACCGAUGCCCCACUUGUAGACAAGGCACCCCUAGAAGCAUUCGGGAUAGCCAUAGGAAGUUAGAGACAAUCAUGUGUGAUGCUCGCUGCAUCUUUUUUGUGUCAAAUGGACUUUAAACUUUUUCCUCCAUUUUGUUGCUGUUUUGAACUGCAUAUUCCUCAAAGAUUGAUAAUUUUCCCGUAUUCGUUAAAGAUAUUGAUUUGUGACAGGUUUGAGACAA